rnacentral:tRNA from 1 species
GCCGAGGUGGUGGAACUGGUAGACGCACCGGACUCAAAAUCCGGCGCCGCAAGGCGUGGGGGUUCGAUUCCCCCUCUCGGCACCA